rnacentral:rRNA from 1 species
UACGGAGGGGGUUAGCGUUGUUCGGAAUUACUGGGCGUAAAAGCGCGCGUAGGCGGACUAUUAAGUCAGAGGUGAAAAUCCCCGGGGCUCAACCCCCGGAACUGCCUUUGAUACUGGUAGUCUUGAGUUCGAGAGAGGUAAGUGGAAUUCCGAGUGUAGAGGUGAAAAUUCGUAGAUAUUCGGAGGAACACCAGUGGCGAAGGCGGCUUACUGGCUCGAUACUGACGCUGAGGUGCGAAAAGUGUGGGGGAGCAAAACAGGAUUAGAUACCCCUGUAGUCC